GCUCUUUCCCUGUUGCCCUGCUGUAUGUCCCUGAGCAGUGCAAUUGUGAAAGGGCAU
rnacentral:pre_miRNA from 1 species